rnacentral:tRNA from 1 species
GUGUUGGUAUCUCAGGGGUAGAGUGCAUGCUUUCUCUAUAUGACGUCCUGGGUUCAAUCCCCAGCUUCUCCC